AUGCAGCCACAGCCGCCCCUGCUCCCUUUGCAGUUUUCCUCCUUUUAUCCCACCCUUGACCAAUGCCACAUCCCUCAGCUGGGUUUUUUGGCUCUGUCUCCUGCCUGCGCUGAGUUUGCAGGGCUCCAGGCUCGCCGAAGCCGUGCGAAAGAGCAGCUCGGGCUGCCGGGGCAGGUCCCUGCCGUGCUGGCAUUUGGUCCUCGCCCCACACCUUGCGCUCGGAGCCGCCUUUGUCCUGGGGCCGGCAGCUGUGUGGGUGCAGUUGUGCACCCAGCGGGGGGCCAAGCAGCCGUGGGUGGUGGCCUUGCACAGCUGGGGUGCUCCGGGGAGGUCUGGGGGGGACAAGUGUUGGCUUUGUCACGGCGUUUCCCUCCCCUUUUUGUCUGGGGCAAGGCAGAGCAGAGCUCCCAGAGGGCCCCUCCGACCAGUCCGUGUCCUGGUGGUUGGAGCAAUGCCUUCUGCCCCGAGCUGUGCCUCGCUCAGCCAGCUGGAGGGCUGUUACCGUGCCCGAUAAGCCCUUGCUCUGUUUGCUCUCACGCGCUCUUUCCUCACACAGCCAAAGCAAACCACGCUUAUCUUCACCUCCCGGAGCAUGUGCGGCUCCCAGGGACGCGGGCACUGACCCACGGGCACAUGGUGGCCGUGCCUUGCCCAGCCCCGAGGCUCCCCAGGGCAUGUGCCCACAGACGGUCCCUGCCCUCUCUCCCAUCCCAAGGCCUUGGGGUGCUGAAGGGCUCACGUCCCCCAAGCCCCGGCCUGGCCCCACAGGACCUCAUAGCAGGCAGGGCCUGGAGCUGCUCCCCCAGCACCACCGACCCCGUCUGGGGGUCCCUGUGCCCCGCAGCCGAUGUGUAUUGGGCCCAGCAGGCCCCGAGCAGGCCCCGUUCCACACACAGGGCUCCCGGGCAGACACCUGCCCGCCCCACAUGUAGCUUUGAUGUCUCCCGUCCAGCCUGGGAUCAAUCCCGGCCUGGCUGUGCCCCCCCCCCCCCCUUCCUUCCCCGGGGUCGCUUCUGA
rnacentral:lncRNA from 1 species